rnacentral:lncRNA from 1 species
GUUGGCAGAGUGCACGUCUGCACGCCACACUUAGAAUCAACCCCAGAGACUGGGCGGUGGUUGUUUUUUCUCAUUGCCAACCUCCGGGCAUCGGGACUGCGGGUUCGUCUGGGCCUCCCUCACCCCUGGCUCCCGCCCAGGGCUUGCAUCAGACCCGGACAUGUGCCAGCUGCCUGCUGCCUCCUCUCUAGGUUCUCCAGGUCGUGUGGACUGGGACUCUGGGUGUGUCCCUCAGUCCCUGGAGCCUGGGUUUGCCCUUUCUGAGCACAAGGGAAGGGCCCUGCUGAGACGAAGCUCUGGUGGGUCCUUUUGUAAACGACCAGCCAGCCCCUACUUGAUCUGCGCUGAGAACAUGUCAAGUCUGCACGGCGACAGCUCUGCUGAUCAGAGAGACCACCGUGCUGACGCGCUGACUGUCCUCUCUUGUAGCUUCCUCCUCUGUGAAGACGACCCAGGGGGCCCCGCCCUUCUCUGAGCAGAGUGCCGUGGGGAUCUUGGGAUUCGGGAACUGUCCAGGUUUCCAGGCGAAGGUGGGACCGCGAGGGCAGGUCAUGGUGCCCGGCUGUGUGGGUGGAAAUCUUGGCGCUGUGUCCUCAGGGGUGGGCGCUCCAGCAGCGGCGGGCAGUACAGCUGGUGAAGGGCUUUCUGCUAUUCUUGAUGAAGGGAUUCCCCUGAGCCCACCUGGCACGUCUCUAUUCCAUGCAGGUGUGGAGAACAUCCCCCCACUGCUGCCCCACGGGGACUCGGGGACAUGCCUGGAGGCAGUGCCUGCCUGGCCUGUGGAACUGAGCUGCUGAGGACCCUCCUUGGGGGUGGGGGAUUCUCACAUGGGCUCCGGGUAAAGGAAUGUCCUAGUCCCAAGUGGAGACAACUCCAGGAUCAGAUUUGGGGGGGAGCAUUUUGAACUGUUUGGAAUCCAAAUGAACACAUGUCUAAGAACAUGGCGAGCAUCUUGUAGAACCACCCAGGGAAAGUCGAGGGGUGCAGAGACCCCUGGGAGCAGCUCAGACGACCCCCUCACUUCCCCAGGCCAUUCUCCAGUGGGCCUGGGGUGCUGUGCGAACACCCCCCAUGUGAAAGGGCACUUCCCAGGCAGAAGGCACCUGCGUGGCCCUAUUUGACACCAGGUGUCGGGGAGCAGUGUAACCGCCCUGUGCCCGCCCACUUCUGUCGGCCACCUGCAGGUCCCUCCAGGACAGGGACAGACCAUGCCCCCUGCCAGCUCUCCUUCUUCCUUGUCCCUUCCCUCCCAUCUUCUUUCUUUCCUCACUUCAUCUGCUCAAAAUAUUGAAAAAUCAAAAACCAGAGCUUCUGCAAAGGACACUGUUUCUACCUGAAGACAACAGAGCCCUGUGGAGGGAACAUGCAUGGCACAGCAAGCUGUGGGCAUUUUCAGAGGUUUAAAGACAAGACUGAGGGGACAGCGUGAGGUGCUGGAGCCUGGGCAGGCAUCCUUGCAGACGCUCCGUAUCUGAGGCCGCGGUGGCCUCUGCAGGCCUGGGCUCCACCUAUCUCAUGGGACGGUCACUCUCAGGCUGUCAUGUGUAGGAGCCCUUCCUUCCCAGUCUACUGGCUUUGCUUACCUGUUUGGCUGGGGUUGGCAGGAGUGAUUCCAUUUUUAUUAUGAAAACUUUGACAUUUUUCACACUGUUUGUUUGUUUGUUUGUUUUGGUACCAGGGAUCGAGCUCAGGGGCACUUAAACCAGUGAGCCACAUCCCCUGUCCUUUCUAAGUUUUUACUUUGAGACCGUGUCUAAGUUGCUAUGGGCCUCACUAAGUGGCUGAGACUGACCCUGAACUUGUGAUCCUCCUGCCUCAGUCUCCGGAUCCUCUGGGAUUUCAGAUGUGGGCCACGGCACCUAGUUCUUUCUCACUUUCUUUCUAAUUCCCGAAUACAGUACCUGGAAUAUUAAGUGUUUAAAAUACAAAAUAUAUGUGGCUGUGUAUAACUACCAGGGCUGAUUAAAAGCAGUAUCUAUAUAGAAAAGGUAAGAAGAAUCCAGUUUUCCACCACCCAAAGGUGGCCACUGGGCAGUUUUUGAUUGUGGUUUAUCUGAGCACUUGAAGCAAUGUGGGAGUGGUUUUUAUUUGAACUUCUAAAUGUGUUUUUUUAUGAGCUUACAGAGUGACCAAUAGAGCUGGAUGGAUACCUUCCCUGUGGCCAGGGAGCUGGACAGGGACCUGCCCUGUGGCUAGGGAGCUGGAUGGACAGGGGAGCUGGAUGGGGACCUGUGCUAUGGCCAGGGGAGCUGCCCGCCCAAGUGGAGCACUCGGUGUCCGUGGAGAGACAUGCAGCUGCCAGGAAAAUGGCACAAAGUACAUCAGGGAGACGCAUUCCAGGGGCUGUGCCCAGUGGGACCAGGGAUUCAUUUCCUGCAGAUGAGGUCAAAUUAUUAUCUAGAAGGUGUUUUACCAAGUGGUUAAACAAAAACAAAGUGAGGAUUUUUAAAAAACUAAUAUUUGUUAAAGUCUGUUCCAUGUGAAUAUGUUAAGAAAAUAAUUCUUAGACAAAGUAGCAAGGCCAAGACUGCAGCUGCCAGCCCCUGCCCGAAUCUUUGGACAGGAUGACUCUCUCUGUGUCCUGACUUGGGGUCAGCAGACCCAGCAUAUCCAUGGCCAUGGGGAAGGUUCAUUUGACACUGGGCUCUGACACCCGCUCCCCCUGCUCCCGGGCCAUCUGGGCUCUCCUCCCUAGGUGGCCUCUGCUCUGGGCUCCUCUGGCUAAGUGGCCCCCUCCCCUCACGUGUGAACACCACAUGCUCUAACUCUUAAGGAUUGGUCUGUUUCCUUUUUCAAUUCCAAGUUGAAGGGGAACAUUCUGUCUCCUUUAUUGGCUCUAUAGUUGGAAAACAUAGACCUCACUCUUGUAAUUUUGAAUCUGCUCAUCUGUGACAGUGGGGAGAGCCGCCUAUUGGAUUUCUGACAGGUUGGAUCCUGAGGUAGACAUGCACUGAGAGGCGGGGACCUCCACCCUCCACCCAAGGCUCUAGGGGGUACAGUGGGCCUGGGGAUCCCCCCGCCUGGCUGUAACUGCCCCUCCUCCAUGACUCCCAGGACAGGAGCCUGGGCUAUUGCACUCCAUUAGCAGGGGCAGCUCUGUUUCCCAGCAGGGGGCUUGGAAGGCCUACUUCCACGUUUCUGUGUCCCCUGGGCAGAGGGAGUCCUGCAGAACGUGACAGGGUGAUGUUUGCUCUUAUCUUCAGUUGGAGCCAAGACUCAGGAACUCUGGCAUUAUGGCUGUGGUCACAGAAAAAUCGUCCUCCCCUGGCCUCCUGGCUCUGUCCUCUCCCCAAGGACCAAGCGCCCCACCCAUCUGAGCCUUUGUUUGUGCAUCUAGAGCCCUGAAGCGUGGGCAGGAAGAGAACUGAAAGCACCUGGUCCAGUAGCCUCUGUAUAUGGAACUGGGAGAAGUGGCCCAGGACAGAGGCAGGGACGCAAAGCCCUCCUAGGCCGGUGUCCACCUGCAGUGGAUCACCAGCUCCGCAGAAGCCGCACAGCCAUUGUUCACGUUCUAUAGCUAAGCGGAAGUCGGAGGGUCGAAGACCUGCCCAGGGUCUGCGGGCAGUCAUUUGUAGGCCGGGGACUCAGACACGCUAGCCUGGGGCAGGCGAUGCAGAGAGCCUUUCUCCAGAGGAGAUGGACAGGUGGACAGACAGGCAGCUCUAAGGCCCUCAAGACCCAGGUGUCUGGAGUUAGGAACCACCUCUGCUUUCCUUCUCAGCCCAUGGGCUCCCGGUGGGGAAAGGCCUUCUCUCCCAGUGCAUCCCGACUCAGCGCAGCGCGGUAUGACUUGUAAUCCUCAUCUUCCCACAGGCUUGGCUCCUGCUGGAUGUGACCCCAGCUCCCCCAAACCUGCUGACAUCCACUUACUCCUGCCCUUUAGAGCAUCACACCUGGACUGAUCUGUUAGCAGACUGUGGUUACCGGAGACAGUGGUGCCAGAGACCCCUCACCUGCCUGCCUCGCCUGGGGUCAUGACCCUCGCCUUGCUUACCCUCUGGUCAUUCUGGUUACUCCUACAUCAGAACCAUUCCCCACCCCAGGCUGUGACUUCAUCCCCAGAGCCACUGCCUGGCCCUUGUCAGAGGCUACUGCCGCUUCCCGGGUGGGGAAUGGGCCAUCGGUCAGCCUUCUGUGGGGACAGUAGCCCAGCAGCAUGGACACCUGAGGGACCGGCCCGGCCAAAGGGGAUUGUUCUUCCUUCUCUCAUUCUGGCCUUGAAAAGUAGUCCCCCCCCCUGCUUUUUGGAGGGUAGUGGCAUCUGAGACAUCCAAGGCAGCAUCGACAGUGUUGGGAUCAAGUGCAACCCAGGUCUGGAAUGGUGCUCCUGGGUGCAUUAGUCCCUGCCCUUCUGGGCCUCUCCUCACCCUUACCCUGUGACCCCCAGCUCCUCUUUAGAUAGCUUCAAGGCCUCUUCUCACCCUCCAAACCAGCUGUCCUCAAGCUACGGUCCUGGCCUCAUCUGGCCACCACCCACUUUUGUAGGUAGUUUUAUUGGAACAUAGCCACAUCCCACCACUUGCACACUGUUGAUGGCUGCUUCCUGCCCCAGAGAGAGCUGAGAGGUGGCAACAGGACGCACAGCCCUCCAAGUCCAAAAUAUUUACUCCUUGGCCCUUUAUGGAAAAAGGUUGCUGCAGACCUCUGCUCCUCACCAUAAAAUUUGGAAACUCCCAAAUUUGCCUUCUUUGCUUGUAUUCGUUUGUGUUUGUACCCUCUUUGGGGGCUCUUUCCCCACAGCUUCAGCUUUUUACUAUGAGUUGCUAUUAAGUCUAAACUCUGGCCUUUCCCUCGAAGUCUGGCUCUACCUUUAC